rnacentral:misc_RNA from 1 species
CCAAUAGCGUAUAUUAAAGUUGCUGCAGUUAAAAAGCUCGUAGUUGAAUUUCGGGACUAAUAUGUCGGUCGUGCCUCGGUACGUACUGGUAUUUUUGGUUUCUCCCUUCUGACGAACCUUGAUGUCAUUAAUUUGGUGUCUUGGGAAAUCAGGACUGUUACUUUGAAAAAAUUAGAGUGUUUAAAGCAGGCUCACGCUUGAAUACAUUAGCAUGGAAUAAUGAAAUAGGACGUUUGGUUCUAUUUUGUUGGUUUCUAGGAUCGACGUAAUGAUUAAUGGGGAUAGUUGGGGGCAUUAGUAUUCAAUUGUCAGAGGUGAAAUUCUUGGAUUUAUUGAAGACUAACUACUGCGAAAGCAUUUGCCAAGGAUGUUUUCAUUAAUCAAGAACGAAAGUUAGGGGAUCGAAGACGAUCAGAUACCGUCGUAGUCUUAACCAUAAACUAUGCCGACUAGGGAUCGGAUGAUGUUAAUUUUUUAAUGACUCAUUCGGCGCCUUACG